AGCAAGGUGCUUGCUACGGCAGCACACUGGAACGAUACAGAGAAGAUUAGUGUUGCCCUGCACAAGUAUGACACCCAAAAUCGUGAAGCACAUCUCUCUAAU